GGACCCAGCUCAGAAGAUCCAGUGAGUACUUAGGUGUCUGUUCACUAGUGGCUGGAAUGUGACUACUACAGCCAAUCACAUGCAUGAUCACAUGCAGUACUACUAGCGUGACACCCAGGAUGACUGCAGGAUCCGAGAGUUUAUGCAAGAUUAACCUACUUAUAUGUCCAGGACUGCAGUAAAGGGAGUGAAGAAGAAUCAGAAACUCACGACCCAUAAAUGCAUAAAAGCACCUGCCUGACGAAGCGCUUCGGCGCGAUACCAGCCUAUCGCACAGCUUGCAUACCCCCGCAUAUUCCAUCCUGCUCCCCUGUCUGUAUCCUGCUUUUCAUGUUGACAUGAAAUAAACGAAGUCCCUGCACUACAAUACUGUCUACUAUGCAGGUGUUUUUGAGAAGUACACAGAAGAGUUAGUACUUUCAUGUGUCCUCCAGUUACUGAUAAAAGCGGAAUUAGGAAUCUCCUCCUGAC